UGCGGAGCCGAAUCAAAUGGACUGUCCCAGGACCAGGUUUAAGACAAAAUAAGAGCACAGUUGAUCUCACGCUGGUGGUUAGUCUGGUUCUCAGCUCAUCUGGUUUUCAAGAGACCGAACAUCAGCUAGUAACAGCAGCUGUGGUCUGGUAGGUCUAGUGUAACCUCGGACCCACUUUCAGUAGUUUAGGA